GACGAACGCUGGCGGCGUGCUUAACACAUGCAAGUCGAACGGAAAGGCCCUGCUUUUGUGGGGUGCUCGAGUGGCGAACGGGUGAGUAACACGUGAGUAACCUGCCCUUGACUUUGGGAUAACUUCAGGAAACUGGGGCUAAUACCGGAUAGGAGCUCCUGCUGCAUGGUGGGGGUUGGAAAGUUUCGGCGGUUGGGGAUGGACUCGCGGCUUAUCAGCUUGUUGGUGGGGUAGUGGCUUACCAAGGCUUUGACGGGUAGCCGGCCUGAGAGGGUGACCGGGGACAUUGGGCCUAAGAGACGGACCAGUGUCCUACGGGAGACAACAGUGGGGAAUAUUGCACAAUGGGCGCAAGCGUGAUGCAGAAACGCCGCGUGCGGGAUGACGGCCUUCGGGUUGUGAACCGCUUUAGCCUGUGACGAAGCGUGAGUGACGGUAAUGGGUAAAGAAGCACCGGCUAACUACGUG
rnacentral:rRNA from 1 species